CAUGCAAUUUGCAGACUUUUGCCUAUCAUGCAAAUAGACUUUCAAUUUGCAGACUUUUGCCUAUCAUGCAAAAUAAGAAAAACUGAAAAAUAAGGUUAACGCGAACUCAUACAUUAGCUUUAAGAAAGCGUUGGAUGAAAAGCCCGUUGUCUGGGCGUUAGCAUUGAGCCAGAGGCUAAAAUGGCGGGCUUUUCCACGAAACGUCAAAGAUUUUUAUCACCUGUAUUUCAAAAACACUGAGCGUGUGGGCGUGUUUUCAAAAGGAUUCCAGCUGUUGUUGAUUUGGUCGAUAACUAUAUAUUGCACAGUGUAUUUUCAUUUCGUUGUUGUCAAACUAUUACUUAAUUUCAUCAUCUUGUCACUCAAUAGUAACAUUUGAAAUUUGUUGGGAACUAAAUUAAUUAUACAGUCUUUAAUUUACGACGGG